rnacentral:rRNA from 1 species
CCUUAUUCUAAGGCGCUUGAGAGAACUCAGGAGAAGGAACUCGGCAAAUUGACACCGUAACUUCGGAAGAAGGUGUGCCUUUAGUAGGUGAAGUCCCUCGCGGAUGGAGCCCAAUGAGGUUGCAAAAAAUCGGUGGCUGCGACUGUUUAUUAAAAACACAGCACUCUGCAAACACGAAAGUGGACGUAUAGGGUGUGACGCCUGCCCGGUGCUAGAAGAUUAAAUGAUGGGGUGCAAGCUCUUGAUUGAAGUCCCAGUAAACGGCGGCCGUAACAAUAACGGUCCUAAGGUAGCGAAAUUCCUUGUCGGGUAAGUUCCGACCUGCACGAAUGGCGUAACGAUGGCCACACUGUCUCCUCCUGAGACUCAGCGAAGUUGAAAUGUUUGUGAUGAUGCAAUCUCCCCGCGGAAAGACGGAAAGACCCCAUGAACCUUUACUGUAGCUUUGUAUUGGACUUUGAACAGAUCUGUGUAGGAUAGGUGGGAGGCUUUGAAGCAGGGUCGCUAGAUCUUGUGGAGCCAACGUUGAAAUACCACCCUGGUGUGUUUGAGGUUCUAACCUAGGCCCGUAAUCCGGGUUGGGGACAGUGCAUGGUAGGCAGUUUGACUGGGGCGGUCUCCUCCCAAAGUGUAACGGAGGAGUUCGAAGGUACGCUAGUUACGGUCGGACAUCGUGACGAUAGUGCAAUGGCAUAAGCGUGCUUAACUGCGAGACUGACAAGUCGAGCAGAUGCGAAAGCAGGACAUAGUGAUCCGGUGGUUCUGUAUGGAAGGGCCAUCGCUCAACGGAUAAAAGGUACUCUGGGGAUAACAGGCUGAUACCGCCCAAGAGUUCAUAUCGACGGCGGUGUUUGGCACCUCGAUGUCGGCUCAUCUCAUCCUGGGGCUGUAGCCGGUCCCAAGGGUAUGGCUGUUCGCCAUUUAAAGAGGUACGUGAGCUGGGUUUAAAACGUCGUGAGACAGUUUGGUCCCUAUCUUCCGUGGGCGCUGCAGAUUUGAGGAAGCCUGCUCCUAGUACGAGAGGACCGGAGUGGACGCACCUCUGGUGUAUCGGUUGUCACGCCAGUGGCAUUGCCGAGUAGCUAUGUGCGGAAGAGAUAACCGCUGAAAGCAUCUAAGCGGGAAACUCGUUUCAAGAUGAGAUCUGCCGGGGCCUUGAGCCCCCUGAAGAGUCGUUCAAGACCAGGACGUUGAUAGGUCGGGUGUGGAAGCGCAGUAAUGCGUUAAGCUAACCGAUACUAAUUGCUCGUGCGGCUUGAUC